rnacentral:ncRNA from 1 species
UAACUGGCUUGUGGCAGCCAAGCGUUCAUGGCGACGUUGCUUUUUGAUCCUUCGAUGUCGGCUCUUCCUAAAUCAUACCGAAGCAGAAUUCGGUAGGCGUUGGAAUUACUAUUCACCCACUAAUAGGGGAACGUGAGCUCCGUCGUGAGACAGGUU